rnacentral:lncRNA from 1 species
GUUUCUUCUUCUUUCCUUUUUUGUACCUUUUUGCCUCCUUUUAUUUUAUUUCUUCACCUUUCCUUUCUGUUGUUUUCUAUUUUUUCCUUUCCUUUGUCAUUUCUUUCUCUUUCCUUUUCUUAACUUUCACUUUGUUUCUUCUUGUUUCCUUUCCUAUUCUUACCUGUCUUCUCCUUUCCUUCUCUGUCCUUCUUUUCCUGUCACAGAGCUGGGCCAGGAGUCAAUGCCAUCCCACAAUGCCACAGUAGUGGUAUCAGCAGCAGGUGUGAUGCCAUACCUCCAGGGUCGAGCUGGAGGGGGAGAACUAAACAGCACCCAUUCUAUCUCCACAAACCCUUCUGCUUCCUCUUCUUCUUCUUCCUCCUCCAUCUCCUGUGACAGGCAGCCAGCUCCUCCCGGAACCAUGGUGAGCUCCCAUCUGCAGGAACAGUGCUAUUCCUUGGGUUUAAGUCACUCAGGCCUUGGUCCGCCUCCACCUAAACCCCCUGGAGGAGUUUAUACGGCAACAGGCCAGCGCCACAGCUCAGAUGGCUGCCCCCUGGCUAGCAUGGUAAGCAGUGGUCAGGGCUCUCUGUUGGGCGAUCCUCCUAAAGAAGUGAGACUGCCCUCCAAUCCUUAUCUGAACCUGGCCAGUGUCAUGCCAGGGAUGGUUAUGCAAGGGUCAGUGGGGAGUAAAGCACAGGGAGGACAGCCUGGCUCUGGGGUUUACGGCAGCUCGGUUGCUCCCGUCGUCUCCCAGGGUUCCGGCUCCUUCUCCCACAACGCAACAGCUACAACCACAGCCCAAUACAGCACUGAUCCCUCCACUGACUACAGCCAAUACAACCAGGCCUACACACAGGAGGCCAUGCAGCAGUGGUACCAGCACUACCAAGCACAAGCUCAAGCUCACACCUACAGCACCGCUGCUCAGCAGGACAACACUGCCACAGACUACAGCAAGGAGCACACACAGGCUCCUCCGGUGACGACCUAUGGGGAUUACAGUUCCUACAUGCAGGCAGUCACUCAGUACUACUCCCAGCCUGCAACAGCCAACCAGGCCUACGUCAGCAAGGUACACACACACACGGCUG